GGCAGAGUCAAAAUACUGAUCACAAAUUCUAGAAAAAAGAGAACAUAUAAAUAUAUAUAUCGCUAGAUGUCAUGUCCAUAUAGCAGAAACCCUUUCAAACAUAUACUAGUUUAGCCAGAUAGCAAAUUCUAGAAAAACGAGAAUAUAUAAAUAUAUAUCGCUAGAUGUCAUGCCCAUAUAGCAGAAACCCUUUCAAACAUAUACUAGUUUAGCCAG
rnacentral:misc_RNA from 1 species